GGCUCAGAACGAACGCUGGCGGCGCGCCUAAUACAUGCAAGUCGAGCGAGAAGGUGUAGCAAUACACUUGUAAAGCGGCGAACGGGUGAGGAAUACAUGGGUAAUCUACCAUCGAGUGGGGAAUAACCAGCCGAAAGGUUGGCUAAUACCGCGUACGCCCCCGGAUCUUCGGGUUCGGAGGGAAAGCCACACUGUGAGUGCGGCGCUCUUUGAUGAGCUCAUGUCCUAUCAGCUUGUUGGUAGGGUAACGGCCUACCAAGGCUUUGACGGGUAGCUGGUCUGAGAGGACGAUCAGCCACACUGGCACUGCGACACGGGCCAGACUCCUACGGGAGGCAGCAGUAGGGAAUAUUGCGCAAUGGGCGAAAGCCUGACGCAGCGACGCCGCGUGGGGGAUGAAGGUCUUCGGAUUGUAAACCCCUUUCGGCAGGGAAGAUGGAACGGGUAACCGUUCGGACGGUACCUGCAGAAGCAGCCACGGCUAACUUCGUGCCAGCAGCCGCGGUAAUACGAAGGUGGCAAGCGUUGUUCGGAUUCACUGGGCGUACAGGGAGCGUAGGCGGUUGGGUAAGCCCUCCGUGAAAUCUCCGGGCCUAACCCGGAAAGUGCAGAGGGGACUGCUCGGCUAGAGGAUGGGAGAGGAGCGCGGAAUUCCCGGUGUAGCGGUGAAAUGCGUAGAGA
rnacentral:rRNA from 1 species